UUAACCUACGGGGGGCAGCAGUGGGGAAUAUUGCACAAUGGGGGAAACCCUGAUGCAGCGACGCCGCGUGAAGGACGAAGUAUUUCGGUACGUAAACUUCUAUCAGCAGGGAAGAAAAUGACGGUACCUGACCAAGAAGCCCCGGCUAACUACGUGCCAGCAGCCGCGGUAAUACGUAGGGGGCAAGCGUUAUCCGGAUUUACUGGGUGUAAAGGGAGCGUAGACGGUGCAGCAAGUCUGAUGUGAAAGGUCGGGGCCCAACCCCGGGACUGCAUUGGAAACUGUUGAACUGGAGUACAGGAGAG
rnacentral:rRNA from 1 species